rfam:Oryza sativa Japonica Group DNA, chromosome 12, cultivar: Nipponbare, complete sequence.
UGGCUUUGGUCACAGUCAAACUGCUUUAAGUUUGACCAUGUUUAUAGAAAAAAAUAGUAAUAUUUUCGACCCAAGAUAAAUUUAUUAUAAAAAUAUAUUUAAUUAUUAAUUUAAUAAAACUAAUUUGGUAAUGUAAAUAUUACUAUAUUUGUCUAUAAACUUAGUCAAACUUAAAGCAGUUUGACUUUGACUAAAGUCAA